GGAAGAAUGACAGAAUGGCUAUUGUAGCGGUCUUGAAAACCGUCGUCUGAAAGGGCGUGUGGGUUCGAAUCCUUCUUCUUCCG
rnacentral:tRNA from 1 species